AGCAAUGUUGAGGCCAGAAGACUUGGAAUUCCAGGAAUGUGGACUACAAAUGACAGAAACAUCUCCAGGGGCCAUGUGGACAACUUGGCAGGCCAUAGUAAGCUGGGACAAGUUCAUCUAACACCUCCUUUGAAGACCAGCAGAUGUUUCAUAAAGGGUCUAUACGUGGGAGGUCUAAGUACAGAGCUUGACUGUGAACUUUCAUC